UAUGGUAGGAACAGAUUUUGAUGGAACCCUAUUCAUAGGUGAAUUAUAGCUAAUAAGACAUAUCCUCAAAGAUAUAAGGAUAAAUCAGUGAAGCUCAUCAUGGACCUGACCAUAUCUAAUAGGAUCCUUUCCUCCUUUCGGAUACCCCUUGAGUUAAGAUAUUCCAGGAGGAGUCCAUUGAGAGACUAUACCGUUGUUCUUAAGAUAUCUCAAAAAUUUUCGACUAAGAUAUUCACCUCUUUGAUCAGAUCGAAGAUAUUAAUGGGUUUAUCUGUUUAU
rnacentral:lncRNA from 1 species